GCGCAGCAGUCGCGAAUUUUCUCAAUGGGGGAAACCCUGAAGGAGCGACGCCGCGUGGAGGAUGAAGGCUUUCGGGUUGUAAACUCCUGUCAUUUGAGAACAAGUGGCCGAACGUAACUACUUCGGCCUUGAUAGUAUCAGAAGAGGAAGGGACGGCUAACUCUGUGCCAGCAGCCGCGGUAAUACAGAGGUCUCAAGCGUUGUUCGGAUUCAUUGGGCGUAAAGGGUGCGUAGGUGGCGCCGUAAGUCGGGUGUGAAAUUUCGGAGCUUAACUCCGAAACUGCAUUCGAUACUGCGGUGCUUGAGGACUGGAGAGGAGACUGGAAUUUACGGUGUAGCAGUGAAAUGCGUAGAGAUCGUAAGGAAGACCAGUGGCGAAGGCGGGUCUCUGGACAGUUCCUGACACUGAGGCACGAAGGCCAGGGGAGCAAACGGGAUUAGAUACCCCUGUAGU
rnacentral:rRNA from 1 species